rfam:Myotis lucifugus cont2.466, whole genome shotgun sequence.
UGCAGUUCUCAGGUGACACACCCAGAACCAGACAGGAAGGGGCCUGGUUCCGGGCUGUGUCACCUGAGAACCGCC